rnacentral:lncRNA from 1 species
UGAAGUUGAGAAAAAUCCUUAUGAGAUUUCAAAGAAAAGAGUUUUGUGUGCAGGGUGUUCUUGAGAUCUUUUGGUGAGAGAUGUGAGUUGGGCUUGACAUUGGGGAAGAUUGUGUAAUUGUAUGUUUGGGAAAAGGGUAGAACAAUGGAGAUUGAGCAUUGUAUGCAUGAGUUGGUCCAUUUCUUAGAUAUAUUAUGUGCAAUGUCAAAGCUACUUGUUUCGAGAGUAAACCACCUUAAAGAUUUUAUGUUUCGAACCUCUUGAAUCACUUGAAUAAAAGCCUUCCCUUACCCAAAUGACUU